GAGAGUCUCCGAGAAGCUGCAGAAUUCAGAGAAAGUGUGGGCUGUUCCGGUGUUACCUGCUCCCCUCUGUACCUAAGGUCCCGCCGGUUUGCCUGCCCGCUCCGUCUGCUUUCACGGAGACACUCUGGUGUGUGAGGCGAUGGCCGCCUGCACUUGCCCUCGCCCUCUGUGCAAAACCCGUCAGCUCCUCCUGGGAUGUGUAUUUAUUGCUUCAGUUACCGCUCAUCCUUGCUUUAGUUAUUGCUCAUUUUUGGGUGCUAGUUACAGGUGUGCUUGUGACCAGCAGCACUUCCUCAGGGACGCCUUUGCUGUUCAACAGUGCUCUAGCAGAGCAGCAGUUAGUGCCACCACACACGUGGCUGUUGUGAGGGUGUUCCAUCUGUAAACCUGGUAAUCCUUCAUUUCUGACCCAGAUUAGCUCCAGUUUCCAUCAAUCAAAUCUUGUUAAUGUACCUUGCAUUUUCAUACCACAAUAUAUUUUCAGAAUAAGUGAAAAAACAAGGAGUUCUGUAAAUUAUGAGGACUGAAUAUUAUCAUACAGUUAUGGAAUCAGGAAAUGGUUUGGUUUGGAAGGGAUCUUAAAGGUUAUCUAGUUCUAGUCCCCACUACCACGGGCAGGGAUGUGACUGAGUACAUUACUUUUCUCAGUGCUCUAUCUGCCUUGUCCAUAUCUCUUUGAAAGCUAGGUAACAAAGUCACAAAUUGAAUUAAAACCAUCAUUGCAAGUAAAAAAAACUGGAGACCAAACUCCAUUCACUCAAAUGAAAUCCUUCAGGCCAGCUCACUGGUUACAUAAGCUGGACAUGCUGGCAAAGCCUUGGUUUGCUCUUUCUCAAAACAAGCAUCUUCAUGCUAUGUGGUUGAGCAAUACUUGCAAUUCAGCAUCAGGAGAGUAUAGAAAAUGAGCCUAAUUAAUCCCUGGUAGUAUUUGAAGUGGAACAGGUGCAGAAUCUGAGCUGGAGCUUAGGCUGACAACAGAUAUUGUUGAUUUAAGAGUGAGAAAAAAGACCCACAGACCCUCCAGGGACAGCUCUAAGAUACUACAGCUGUCAAAUAACAAAACACAAAACCAAGUUCAGAGAUGGCCUGGAAAUUGAGCCCCCUGUUGAUAAAAUAUUUCAAUUGCUCAGUUAAAUAGCUUAGAUGACUUGAACUUUGCUCUUCUGUCCUUCCCUUUUCUGUUUCCUCCUCAAAGGUGUAAAAUCUGGUUCUAGAAACCACUGUGCAAUUACGGAGUCAUUACAGUCCAGUAUAAAGUGUGUUGACCAAGGGCCUUUUUACAAGAACUUUUCAAAGCACUCGUUAUGGUGAGUUCUGAAGCCAAAAGAGGAGAGGAGUCGUCCAGUCAGGUUCCAAAGCAGUACUCUGAAAGAAAGAAGCACUGAAAUCAAUUUGCCAGUGACACAUGCAUGGAAAAGGAUAAAGUGAGACCUUAUCUGGGCAGAGAAUCAUGGAGAAUAGAAGGAGAAAGGAAGUUUGGAUGUAUGAGAAGCUACAAUGGCGCUCAAGUAUAUUGAUGUGAAAGAGAGUAAAGGAGAAGAAAGGGAGAAAGGCAGGUGGUAUGGCAGACACAUGGGGCAUAUGAUGGAGUAGGAAAAGCAGAGGGAUGAUGAGUGAAGCAGUUGCCACAAAUAAGGAAGCAAACGUGGAAGAACUGGAACAGUAAUUUGAAAAGCUGGAGACAUAUGGAUGAUUUUCAGGAGCAUGGAGAUAUGAGGAAUGCAGAAAGCAUGAGCAGCUGAAGAUUAGCAGGAUUAGGGGCUCCUGUGAGCCAGAUCAGAGGUCUCAGCAGGUUUUCAGUGCUUUGCUCUUUGUUUACACACCAGUGUGAAUGGGAGGGGUGGCAGUGCCCACUGCUUGGGAUAGGAGAACAGUCUUCGACAGCUUGGGACCAUUCUGUCCAACAGCCCAGUCACAGCAGCCACUCUGUAGAUAAAAGCAGGUUCUUCCCAAAAGCCUCAGGAAGGUCUGAAAAUGUACAACCCCCAUAAAAAUUAAAAUUGAUAGCUGGAGGUGUAUAGUUGGAAGGAGGGCAAGGUAAUUCUAUCAGAGAAGCUUGAAAAUAGUGAUCUUAUUUGCAUGCAGAUGACCAAGUAUGCAUAGUCCUUAUUUAAUGAUUGUAUUUCAAGUAAUAGAGCCAGCAAUGAAAAACAAGUGGUUAAGUAUUAUAAUGUUUGGUUGAGCCAUUGAAUUGCCUGUGACCUCAGAGCUAAGACUAACCUGGACUGUGGGGGUGAUCCUAAUUACAACCUUACUAUUAGAUAUGCAAUUACCAAUCUAUAAUUACGAGCUAAAUUUUAGAACACUGACUGUUCCUCUGUUUACAGUGAAAUCUGACUUCUGGAUAUAAGAAUACUACUACAUGUGACAAAAUUAAAAAUAAAUCCAUUCUUC